CCUACGGGAGGCAGCAGUCGAGAAUCAUUCACAAUGGGGGAAACCCUGAUGCUGCGACGCCGCGUGGGGGAAUGAAGGUCUUCGGAUUGUAAACCCCUGUCAUGUGGGAGCAAAUUAAAAAGAUAGUACCACAAGAGGAAGAGACGGCUAACUCUGUGCCAGCAGCCGCGGUAAUACAGAGGUCUCAAGCGUUGUUCGGAAUCACUGGGCGUAAAGCGUGCGUAGGCUGUUUCGUAAGGCGUGUGUGAAAGGCGCGGGCUCAACCCGCGGACGGCACAUGAUACUGGGAGACUAGAGUAAGGGAGAGGGAAGCGGAAUUCUCGGUGUAGCAGUGAAAUGCGUAGAUAUCGAGAGGAACACUCGUGGCGAAGGCGGGUUCCUGGACAUUAACUGACGCUGAGGCACGAAGGCCAGGGGAGCGAAAGGGAUUAGAUACCCCUGUAGUC
rnacentral:rRNA from 1 species